rnacentral:lncRNA from 1 species
GCCCAUAAUAUUACAUAUUAUAUCUGCAAAAAGAUGCGUGUGCAAAUCUCUGUUUUCUUCAAUUACUUGAUACAACCUUAUAAAAAAGAUGAAUGAUCAUCACUACAUUAAAAAUAAGCAUUUUUUUUUUACAUAAAUAAGACCGUUAGUUUUCUCGUUUGAAUUGUUUUACAUUGUCUUAUCGGGGCCUUUUAUAGCUGACUAUGCGGUAUCAUAAUGGGCUUUGCUCAUUGUUGAAUGCCGUACGGUGACCUAUAGUUGUUAAUGUCUGUGUCAUUUUGGUCUUUUGUGGAUAGUUGUAUGAUUGGCAAUCAUACCACAUCUUCUUUUUUAUAUAAAUAAUGGUAAAUUAUUGUUUAUCUCAGGUUCAUCAAAAUAAGGAGUCGGUAUUAAGAAACAACAAAAAUUAUACUUAUCACUUCCUUGAAAAAUGUUAUCAUUGCAUGCAUGUCGAAAGAUGUGUAAAGUAUGAUUGCCAAUGCAGCAACAAUUACUUGCCACUAAAUAUCAAAGUACAUUUUGACAGAUAACUUUUUGUUUUAACAAUAUAGGAAUGCAAGAUUUGAAAGACAAGGGAAAUGAAACGAUGAACACUAGUCCUCGUGAUGUGUAUGCUAAAUAUUCAAAAUAUUUGAUAAAUAAAAAAAAAUCAGAUUUUUAAUAAUUUGUAGGAAUGAAUAUUCGUAUCUUUGUGAAAAUCCUCUUUCUGGUAGGUAACUGGGUCCGGUGAUGUUAUUGUAUUAAAUUUGUUACUAGGCCAUUGUUUUAGGUACAUUUAGAAACUUUUACUUCUUAUACACUAUUGGUACUUCAACGAAAGUUUAUUCGAAAAUUCAUUCUUGACACCAAUCUGAAUAUUUUAUGAAACGUUUAUGAAAAAUUGUGAUAUUUCUUUUAAAGAGCAA